UACGUAGGGGGCAAGCGUUGUCCGGAAUUAUUGGGCGUAAAGCGCGCGCAGGCGGUCAGGUAAGUCUGGUGUAUAAACCAAGGGCUCAACCUUUGGACGCAUUGGAAACUGGUUGACUGGAGUGUAGGAGAGGAAAGUGGAAUUCCACGUGUAGCGGUGAAAUGCGUAGAGAUGUGGAGGAACACCAGUGGCGAAGGCGACUUUCUGGCCUAUAACUGACGCUGAGGCGCGAAAGCGUGGGGAGCAAACAGG
rnacentral:rRNA from 1 species